GGUUCGGUGGUGUAGUUGGUUAUCACGCCUGCUUCACACGCAGGCGGUCACGAGUUCGAGUCUCGUCCGAAUCA